GUGUGAAAUGAUGAAUCCAUACCGCCCCAGUCUGAAUUCUGUGACUGAUUGGUUAUGUAUCUGACACAU